GGCUACUGCAAUGCACUCUAUGUGGGGCUCACUGCAGAUAUUAAUAUUGUGGAGUUUGAAGUGACUGGAUGCAUAAAAACUGAGUCCUUUUUGAAUAAAAACAUGCCCAAGGCCCAUAGGUUAUGUUCAAAAGUUUACUUGAGGAACUUUUAAACAAAUAAACAGUAAAUGAUACAUCCAAACAGUCCUGUUCAUGGAAGUUUUAAAUGUUUGAUGUUUUAUUAUGUUUUUACAGGUAACUCAUGAAAACCCAAACCACACCUAGAAAACCAUGGUCUUUGAAUAUUAUUUUUAUCUGUGUGCUCAAAUCACCUUUUUUUCUUAUUUCUUCCUUCCUGAGACUUGGUAUUCAGAACUGGAACUGAGCUUCUGGGAUAGGAGAUUUGGUGCCCCCGUCCCUCAGGUAACAGAAAAAAACAACAGUGAAAAAUGUAAAGUUUGUGUUUUGGUUUUAUGACUAGUUUUAGGUGCAAGAAUUCAGGAUUCACUGUGGCUUUUUCUAUUGCAAAGUCAGUGAGCUGAUAUUACAAUCAGUUUGUGCUCAACUUAAGCACAUCAGCAUUCACAACCCAAAUCAUUUGCAAGCUAAUCAAUAUCAGUUGCAUCUUUCUGAUAUUAGUAGGACAUCUGGGAUUAGACACAUGAAAAUUAUAGAAGUGCUACAAUUCAACACAAGUAAUGUGCCUUUCAUCAGGAGACCCCCAAAUUCAAUCUGGUUAAUUUGUUUCUAGUUAAAAGCAUUUGGGGUAGUAGGAUUGGGAGAGAUCUCUGUCAGAGACCCUGGGGAGCAGCUGCCAAUCAGUACUGGGAUGGACCAAAGUGCUGAUAAGGCAGGUUCCUACGUUUGUUAAUUGAUAUGGAGCAACUACCACUGUUGUAUUCUAUUUUCACCAUCCCAAACAUCAUUUAGAAUCACUGUUCCUGACAUAGAAAUACAUUCACAACAAGCAGAAUGGUCAAAAGAGAGAGUUGAGUGGUGUCAGAGAGGAUAUGUUCACAUUAGUGGCUAAAAAUGCAAUGAGGUCAUAUCCCCUGCUGCAUGUACUCAUAGAUAACAGACGUCUAAAUGUAUGCACAUCAAUUUAAUACCUACUUUUUCAAAUUGGAUGGGAGCUGGUUUGAGGGGAAACCCAUCUAGCAGCAGUAUUUCUCAAGAAACUACAGUUGUACUGUGGAAGUCAAAUGGAAUCCGUUCCACAAGUCCUUUUGACUUCCAAAACAUUCAAAAACCAAAUCGCAGCUUCUGAUUGGCUGCAGGAAGCUCCAGUCGAACGUUCGGCUUCCAAAAAUAGUUUGCAAACCAGAACAGUCACUUCCGGGGUUGCGACAUUCGGCGGCCAAAACGUUCAGGAACUAAGCUGUUCGAAAACCAAGGUACAGGAUUUGAAAGGAUUGUGGCUAACACCUUGUGUACUCCAGCAAGGGGAAAGCAAUGGAGCUGGAGUAAAGGGUAAUGUGUACAUAGGCAGAGUCCACUUUGGGCUGUGAUGAAUGGAAGAGAAAUUCUGGAGGCAACAACCUGAGCUGAGAACUUUGUCUGGCCUCUGGAGUCAACCACGCCUGAUAAUGGCUUCAGUCCCAAUAACAGAGAUCAAGGCCUAAGAGAUAAAAAUUCAAAGGCCAUCUGAGAGUGGAUGAACUUGACUUCCUUUUCUAAUACGAGGUAAUUUUACGUAGUCAAAUGGUAGCAGAGGUCAUCACAGAACAAACUCUAGUUGAAAUGAAGACUUUUCUGAGGUUUCUUGGGAUCAGUAUGCAGAGCUUAAUUCUUGCUCUUAAAUUCUGCAUACUAUACUGCAUAAAAGAUAGUCAUUUUUAGAAGUGACUUGAAGGGCAGCAGUGACCCUUCUGCUUAUUUUAUUACACCACUUUUGCUCCGCAUAAUUACUUACCAGAUGUUCAUGGUACGUUUUGGCUGUUCCCUUUACUCCACAAAAUAAAUUCUGGGUGUGGGGCAAAAUUUUCUUCCUGAGACCAUUGUCAUAGACAGAGGCAAACAAACGCUUUUAGUUCUUUUCUAUAUUGUACUUUAAAAUGCAUUUACACUGGUUCUGCCCUUGUGAAAAGACCAUAUAAGUAAAAAUAUAACAGCCACUACAGGGUAUAGAACAUCCUUUGAGAAUACAAGGAGAUAAUUAAAAAAACCCAGCACAUUCUAUUGAUCCUAGGCAAAAAAGAAAACCCUGACCAUAAUGAAUAGCUGUCAUGCAAAUGUUUACAUCUCAAAAUCUAAAACAAACUGAGCUCAUACUCUGAUCCAAUAACUUAGCUGACCGGAGUCAGCAAAUGCAAUCUAUAUGUGCUCCAAAGCAUAUGCAGCCAAGUGUGGUAAAUGCUGAAGAAGAGACACAGAAUAUACCCAGCAGCUCAUCCAUUGCUGCACGCAGAUUUUUUUUUAUUAUUUUAUUUUAUUUAUUGAAUUUAUAUACCGCCCUAUACCCAGAGGUCUCAGGGCAGUUCACAGAAAAGAUCACAGUAUAUAAAAUCAAAAUAAAAACAAUAACCCAAUAACACCCCCCAAAAGCCACAUUUUGAAAUGGUAUAGGAUGUUGAUCUAGUCAACCAAAGGCCUGGUUAAAAAGGAACGGUUUUGUCUGGCGCCUAAAGGUGUAUAAUGAAGUCAGCAGGCGAACUUCCCUGGGAAACCACUAUGCAAUUGUCCUAAUCGUAGAUCCUUAAGCACUGUUUCUCUGCAAACAUGCACGUGGCCUGCCAGUGCUCCCGUGGUGAUCUGAAUCAAGGCAAGCCACUUCUUACUGUAAUAAAAAUGGAGAGAGAAAUUGGAGACAUGUGGGAUUUCUGGUAUUCCUUGGGAGCUUCACUACUUUUCUCUUCAUCCCUAUUCCUUGUGAAGACACAGUGCAAGGUAGAGAGCCCAUUUACCAAAUGUGCUCCAAUGCCCUGGCAUAGAUCCAAAAACAAAAAACAAAACACCCUUUGCAUGUCGAGGUCCCCAGGGCCACCCCAAUAACUCACACAUCACACAGAAAUUUUGUUUAAGGUUUUUUGCAUAAUUUAGGCCACAACUUUAUUAAAAUACAAAAAUGUGAGUGGUUGCUUAGGCAUUGGUUGCGAAUAUCUGCCGCCCUAUGGGGGACAGACUGACAUUCCGCAUGCCUGCGAAAGUCAGAAAAGGGGAAUACACUUGGGGGUAGCGACGGAGCAGGGAACCUGCCCUCAGCCCUCCCCAAAUGCAGCCAGGAGCUCUUGCAGUGGCCCGAGCCCCUUGACAGGGUGGAUAAAAGCAAUAGUGAGCCCCUGAAUUCCUGUAACGGAAUCCCUUGCAGCAGCAGCAUUAGAGGUGCAGGCACAGCCAAUCCAUGCCCUUCAACCAACCAAACCAUAAACCAAUGCCUAACGGCAACCUUACAAGUUGUGACGAUUUGCUACGCAGUAGGCAAAAACCAGAUGGCCCCAGCCAAUCAGCCAGAUGGACAAAAUUCCUAACAGGCCCCUGCCCCAAGAGGAGACGACCCCAUGACAGGCAUAGCAAGGUCAAAGCGGACAACCCUAAAUAUGGGGGGGGGGCGAUGGGCAAUCCGAUCCACGGGGCAAAAAGAGGAAGCUCUAGCCUCGUGCAGGGAGUUUUAGCAUUUCUAGCUGUCAGUCAACAAAUGGCAACAUUAACUUCUUCCCAACAACAAGGGAAGCCCAAUCACAUCAGUGGCCAAUGAUCAAUUAGCCCGCCCCACAACUUUGGAGUGUCCUGUCAGACCCCACCGCAACACGUGCUCUCCAUGAAGGAGAACACGCUUUGCCAUUUUGUAUCCCAUUACCCAUUGUUCUUCUAGGGUCUGCAGACAAGACAAGGUCAAGAAUGCUGGUUGUUGCAGAGAAUGCCCUUUCCUGGGCUGCCAUCACCCUGAGCCUCUGAGGGCAAAGGAAAAACUAAGAGGGCACCCUCUGCAGAUUGAGAUGGCACCUGACACGGUACCUGUAGGUAACAAGGCAGUAAUUCAGGUACUGGAGACCUGAGUCAUUUAGUUUUUCUACACAGAUUCACUAUUUUCAUGUAAAUUUCAUGCAUCAUGGGGCAAGGAAAUGUAGUACACAGUGCUGGUCUAUUAUUCUACCCGUUUUGUAAAUGUGCUCUUUCUGUCUCAUUUUCUUCCUGACAAACCAAAAGGCCAUGGUUGUACAUUGCAUAUUUUUAUUUUGCCACUCCAGGUAGUACAGCCGAGUUUUCCUGCACCUAUUGCAAACGCAACCUGUCUCACUGGCAACUCAGAAAUACCCUCCUGCACAGUUCAUGUAUUUUCCUCCCUUGGCUCGCCAUUCCCAUCAGCUGUAACAAGGCCUUAGGAUGUCUGCAAUUAACAGAUCUAUAGGAAAGGCUCAAAGGAAAUGCACCUCCAGAAGAUAUGAUGUAGGCAUUGUAACACAGGCUGUCUGUCAAUGACUGGUUUCUCUGCCCUGAAGGCAUGAGUCCAAGUGACUUCUGUGAAGGCGCCUUGCCAUUUCAACAGAUGGACAUGAGGGUAAGUAGCCAAGCAGCUAUGUCUGGGCAUCAGGCGCAGGCAAUGAGCACCUGAUUCCUGGCCAAAAAUGCAGUGGCGGCUGUUUGACUUUGCUUAGCAAGCUAAGGUUCAGCUAGUAUGUCAUUCCUAAUUAAAGUUAGGGAUAGUUUCUUUUUCUUUUUUUAAGGGAUAUGUUUUAAUGCUGCAAAAUCCAAUGUCUGCAUCAAGCCUAGGACACCUUUUUAAAUGUAUUUAUUAAUUAAAAUUUCUUGGUUUACAAAGGUAUGUGCAAUGUCUCUUUUUUCAAGUUAAAUUUUCUACAGAUCAGUUUCUUUUGCUGAGAAGUGCUUUCAGGGUAUCCACUGUGAUAUUUCCCCAACCAUUUUUCAAUUAUGUGUAUGUGUGUGUGAGAGAGAGAGGGGGGGAGUAUUUGUGGAUAGUGGGAAUAGGGUGAUCCUUUAUGCAAUCCAUAAAUUCCAAUUUGUGGCUCCCUCUAGUUUUAGCCAAAUCAUGGUCUCUAGCUUUCUAAAAAAACUAGCUAACUAUCUAUUGUAUUGUUGUUUUCAUUUCAACUAUUUACUUGUCUUUUUACUUUGUAUUUUAUCCUACGAACCACCCUGAGAUAUUGUGAUAAAUGGCAAUAUAAAAAUCUAAUGAAUAAAAUAACAUGCCCCCCUUGGCCCCCUUGGCCUCCUUGGCCCCCUAUACUUUGAGCACUGCUUAGACACAUCUAACUAUGCAUGGUACUUAAUUCCCACUGGAUACAGUAGAAAUCAUUUCUGGCAAACUUGCAAAGGGACAACCUAGAAUGCAUAGAUAAGUCCUAUUGGUUUUAGUGGAACUAUUUAUCAGAUUGGUUUGUCCCUUGUAGUUUGUCCCUUGUAGUUUAGGGGCUGCUGUAUACAUUAGCCAUGUACAUUUUUUCAGACAUCUAUAAACUGCCUGCGUUUGUUGUACAAUUUUGCCUUCGCUCAGGCAGCCACUCUCUUUGUUAUCAUGCUAAUUUACAUCAGCUUUGAGUACACUUUUAAUAAAUGAGCCAAGGCUACACCUGUGACAAAAUUAAUCAGAUGAAUGUUGGAAGAUAUUGGAAAAAUAUUAUGUGACCGGCGCAUAGCCUUGUAUUGAUUACCGGCCUUCCAGUAUCUCAGGACUCAAGAUCAAUAAGUAUAAACCCAUAGUUUUAUGCCUACCUGAUUGCUUGCACAGCAUAUUCCCUGGCAGAAAUAUUAGACCUUGUUGAGUCAAAUCCUGUCAAAGUCAAUGGAAGUCCUUUCACUGACUUUCAGGGUCAGGUCACAUUAACCUCUGGAGUUUGGACAAACACCCUGCAGUCCAAUAAUC